GACAGAGGUCUCAAGCGUUAUGCGGAAUCACUGGGCUUAAAGCGUGUGUAGGCGGAUCGUUAAGUGCUUUGUGAAAUCCCACAGCUCAACUGUGGAACUGCUUGGCAUACUGGCGGUCUUGAGCCAUCUAGGGGUCGCUGGAACAAACGGUGGAGCGGUGAAAUGCGUAGAUAUCGUUUGGAACGCCAGUGGUGAAAACAGGCGACUGGGGAUGUGCUGACGCUGAGACACGAAAGCCAGGGGAGCAAACGGG
rnacentral:rRNA from 1 species